UGGGAAUGAAGCGCUGUCUGGGCUGCUUUUGGGUUCCUCACUGCUUCGGUUUCCCUAUCGGGCUUCUUAGCAGUGGCCUAGCAGAAAAAUAAGAAAAGAUGUCUGAAUAUAUUCGGGUAACCGAAGAUGAGAAUGACGAGCCCAUUGAAAUACCAUCAGAAGAUGAUGGGACAGUGCUGCUGUCCACACUUACAGCCCAAUUUCCAGGGGCAUGUGGGCUGCGCUACAGGAAUCCAGUAUCUCAGUGUAUGAGAGGUGUGCGGCUGGUAGAAGGAAUUCUGCAUGCCUCUGAUGCUGGUUGGGGAAAUCUGGUUUAUGUUGUCAACUAUCCCAAAGAUAACGAAAGGAAAAUGGAUGAGACAGAUGCUUCCUCAGCAGUGAAAGUGAAAAGAGCAGUCCAGAAAACAUCUGAUUUAAUAGUGCUGGGUCUCCCGUGGAAAACAACAGAACAGGAUCUAAAGGAAUAUUUUAGUACCUUUGGGGAAGUUGUUAUGGUGCAGGUUAAGAAAGAUAUAAAAACUGGUCAUUCAAAAGGGUUUGGCUUUGUUCAUUUUACGGAAUAUGAAACCCAGGUGAAAGUAAUGUCACAGCGACAUAUGAUAGACAGACGAUGGUAUGACUGUAAACUUCCUAAUUCUAAGCAAAGCCUGGAUGAACCUUUGAGAAGCAGGAAGGUAUUUGCUGGGCGCUGCACAGAGGACAUGACUGAUGAUGAGUUGCGGUAGUUCUUUUGUCAGUAUGGAGAAGUGGUAGAUGUCUUCAUUCCCAAACCAUUCAGGGCUUUUGCCUUUGUUACAUUUGCAGAUGAUCAGGUUGUCCAGUCUCUUUGUGGAGAGGACUUGAUCAUUAAAGGAGUCAGCAUACAUAUAUCCAAUGCCGAACCUAAGCACAAUAGCAAUAGACAGUUAGAAAGAAGUGGAAGAUUUGGUGGUAAUCCAGGUGGCUUUGGGAAUCAGGUUCAUCUCAUUUCAAAUGUUUAUGGAAGAAGCACUUCAUUGAAAGUAGUGCUGUAAAUAUUCUGCCAUAGGAAUACUUCUGUCUACAUGCUUUCUCAUUCAAGAAUUCGUCAUCACGCAUCACAGGCUUCGUCUUUGAUGGUGGGUGUCCCAUUUUUAUCCGCUACUUUAUUUCAUGGAGUCGUAUGAACGCUAUGAACACAAGGCUGGAACCAGAAGGCUGUUUGAACUUUUGAAACCUUGUGUGGGAUUGAUGGUGGUGCCGAGGCAUGAAAGGCUAGUAUGAGCGAGAAAAGGAGAGCGCGUGCAGAGACUUGGUGGUGCAUAAGGGAUAUUUUUUAACUUGGCGAGAUGUGUCUCUCGAUCCCGUGGCUUUGGUGAGAGUGUGUGCAGAGAGCAAUGAUAGCAAAUAAUGUACGAAUGUUUUUUGCAUUCAAAGGACAUCCACAUCUGUUGGAAGACUUUAAGUGAGUUUUGUUCUUAGAUAACCCAUAUUAGCUGAAUGUGUUAAGUGAAACGAUACUUGUAUUUCCCUUACCCUUUUGUCAACUGCUGUGAAUGCCGUAUGGUGUGUGUUCUCUUCUGUUACUGAUCUGUAAGUGUGGUAAUGUGAACUGAAGCUGAUGGGUUGAGAACAUGGACUGAGCUUGUGGUGUGCUUUGCAGGAGAACUUGGAAGCAGAGUUCACCAGUGAGCUCAGGUGUCUCAAAGAAGGGUGGAAGUUCUAAUGUCUGUUAGCGGCCCAUAAGCCUGCUGUUUGCUGCAGUUCCGUGUCCUGUGCUUGGAUGCUUUUAUAAGAGUUGUCAACGUUGGAAAUUCUUAAAUAAAACUGAUUAAAAAAA